rnacentral:lncRNA from 1 species
CUCGCCCUGACUUCCCAGAAUGUCAAGGGGGCUGCGUCCGCAGUCCCGCCUCCCCCAAGAGCCAACGCUCUAGGGUUCCUGCCCUGCGCUGCCGAGGGCGCGGAAGGCCUCGACCCUGUCAUAAUCUGAGAAAUUGUGGAUUACUUCGUGAGUGAUAGGAUUCAACCUCUUUAAAUCCUGGAGAGGAAAAUAUUCUAUAGCCGUGGCGUUCUGGAGCUGAAAUGCCCACAAAACAAAACCCAGCGUUCUUGGCAAACGAGCACCGCCCACGCACCACCUGGAGCGGAAGUUUCUUCAACCCCGUGGUGCGCCACUCGGCGACGCUCCUCGCUUUUCACGACCGUCCUUGGGUUUGGGGUUGGGAGUGGGGGUGCUGCGAUGAGCUCGUGGCCUCAUGCCUGCGGGACAAGCGGCCUACCAUUGGGUGACAUCCCAGACCCCAGAGUCAGAAUCAUCGAGUUCGCCCUGAAUGAAUUUUUGUUCUCUUAGUUGAGCCCGAUCUUCCUUUUUCUUUUUCAACACUUUUUUCUUUCACAUCUGAUUAAAGGUAUGGUUAUCAAGAAAAUAUCAAGUAUAGAAGAGAAUCAAGCUUGAAAUACAGAAAGAAGAUUAAGAACCAUUAUAGAGCGGAAGCCAUGUGCUGUUAAAAUGGAGAUGUGGAAAGGGAGUCAGCCUCAACUGCACCAGACAACAAAUUUCACGCAGGUCUCAAUUUCGUGUUGACUGGAUUCCCUUGUUUGAUGGGAACUUGGGAAUCAAGGCAAAUGUUGAAUUGUUCAUUUUAAAGAAAUGUGUCAAGUGGGUGAAAGCUACCCUAGCAGGAAAUUGGAGAACUCAUUGGAAUAUUAAAAGGGGUAAAUCCUACUUACAAUCUUUAAAAUGUCUCUUCUUCCAUCCAUUGUCAGAUAUCACAUCACCUACUUCUAACCUGCUCCGUCAUAAAUCAGAUAAAUCAAUCAUGUGCCUUACUCUUCCAUUAACAGUUGAAUACAGGGAGGCCUGGUU